UUAAAUUGAAGAGUUUGAUCAUGGCUCAGAUUGAACGCUGGCGGCAGGCCUAACACAUGCAAGUCGAACGGUAACAGGAAGAAGCUUGCUUGCUUUGCUGACGAGUGGCGGACGGGU
rnacentral:rRNA from 1 species